GAUGAACGCUGGCGGCGUGCCUAAUACAUGCAAGUCGAGCGAAUGGAUUAAGAGCUUGCUCUUAUGAAGUUAGCGGCGGACGGGUGAGUAACACGUGGGUAACCUGCCCAUAAGACUAGGAUAACUCCGGGAAACCGGGGCUAAUACCGGAUAACAUUUUGAACCGCAUGGUUCGAAAUUGAAAGGCGGCUUCGGCUGUCACUUAUGGAUUGACCCGCGUCGCAUUAGCUAGGUGGUGAGGUAACGGCUCACCAAGGCAACGAUGCGUAGCCGACCUGAGAGGGUGAUCGGCCACACUGGGACUGAGACACGGCCCAGACUCCUACGGGAGGCAGCAGUAGGAAUCUUCCGCAAUGGACGAAAGUCUGACGGAGCAACGCCGCGUGAGUGAUGAAGGCUUUCGGGUCGUAAAACUCUGUUGUUAGGGAAGAACAAGUGCUAGUUGAAUAAGCUGGCACCUUGACGGUACCUAACCAGAAAGCCACGGCUAACUACGUGCCAGCCGCCGCCGUAA
rnacentral:rRNA from 1 species